rnacentral:rRNA from 1 species
GGUUGUUCCUUGAGGAGUGGCUUCCGGAGCUAACGCGUUAAGUCGACCGCCUGGGGAGUACGGCCGCAAGGUUAAAACUCAAAUGAAUUGACGGGGGCCCGCACAAGCGGUGGAGCAUGUGGUUUAAUUCGAUGCAACGCGAAGAACCUUACCUACUCUUGACAUCCAGAGAACUUAGCAGAGAUGCUUUGGUGCCUUCGGGAACUCUGAGACAGGUGCUGCAUGGCUGUCGUCAGCUCGUGUUGUGAAAUGUUGGGUUAAGUCCCGCAACGAGCGCAACCCUUAUCCUUUGUUGCCAGCGAUUCGGUCGGGAACUCAAAGGAGACUGCCAGUGAUAAACUGGAGGAAGGUGGGGAUGACGUCAAGUCAUCAUGGCCCUUACGAGUAGGGCUACACACGUGCUACAAUGGCAUAUACAAAGAGAAGCGACCUCGCGAGAGCAAGCGGACCUCAUAAAGUAUGUCGUAGUCCGGAUUGGAGUCUGCAACUCGACUCCAUGAAGUCGGAAUCGCUAGUAAUCGUAGAUCAGAAUGCUACGGUGAAUACGUUCCCGGGCCUUGUACUCCCCGCCCGUCAA